rnacentral:rRNA from 1 species
AUUAAGUAGAGUUUGAUGAUGGCUCUGAAUGAACGCUAUUCAAAUGCUUGACACAUGCUAAUCGUACGUUUGUAGUUAACAAUAAUUAAUUACAAAAGUGGUGUACAGGUGAGUAAAUGAUCGAUUGGUUACCUUAAAGUGAGGCAUAAAAUACCUUAUAAUAAAAGGAGUAAUCUCUGCUUUAAGAUACUAGUUGUAUCUCGGGUAGGUAGUAGGAGAGGUAAUUGCUCAACUAGCUUAGCAUCCCGUAGUCGAGGCUGAAAGGUCGAUCGACCACAUUGGAUAUGAACAAAAUUCAAUGCAUAAUAGUACAGCAGUGGGGAAUAUUGGUCAAUAGCCGAAAGGCUGAACCAGCAAUUUGAAGGAAUGGCCUCAAAUGAGGGGGGAUAGUGAUGUAUGUAUGAAAAUAUGUGCACAUGGGUCCAAGCCUUGGCCAAAAGGCCAAGGAUUAAAGUUCUGGAUAGAAUAAUGAUAAUGACAAUUUUCUAUUCAAGUGUCUUGACAAACACAUGUGCCAGCAGUCGCGGUAAGACAUGCAAGACUAGUGUUAUUCAUCUUUAAUGGGUUUAAAGGGUACCUAGACGGAAGUUCAAGCCUGCGAGGGGACGGAAUUUCUAGAGUUUUAUGUGAGAAGGGGAGUACUACUGGUGGAGAGAUGAAAUUCGAUGAUACCUUUAGGACUGGUAAAGGCGAAGGCAACCUUUUAAGUAAAAACUGACGUUGAGGGACGAAGGCUUAGGUAACGAACAGGAUUAGGCACCCUAGUAGUCUUUGCAGAAAACGCUGAAUGCUAUAGGUUAGAAUUUAUUUUGGCCUAUAAACGAAAGUGUAAGCAUUCCACCUCAAGAGUAAUGCGGCAACGUAGAAACUGAAAUCAUUAGACCGUUUCUUGAAACCAGUAGUGAAGUAUGUUAUUUAAUUCGAUGACCCACGAAAAAUCUUACCAUAACUCGCAUGGCUAGUAAAAUAUAAAAAUUAUAAUUAUUUUGUGAACGAAUUAUCAAAGAUGUAAAAAAAAAUAAUAUAUACAGAAUAAUAGAUAAUAGAUAAAUUUUAUCAUAUGGAUUUAUUUUUUAUAAAUAAAUCAUAUAUACUUUAGCUACAGGUGUUGCACGGCUGUCUUAAGUUAAUGUCGUGAGAUCAUGGUUAGAUCCAACAAUUAGCGUAAGCCCAUAGUUUAUUUAAUAAAAUAUAAAAUAUUAAUAUAUUUAUUAUAAAAAAAUUUAUUAUAAAAUAUAUUAAGCAAAUAAUAUAUAUAAAUAAUUUUGUUUAUUAGUAAUAAAUAAUUUAAUAGAGGAAUUUAGGAAUAUUAUCUACAAAAAGGCUCUCUUCGUGCCGUGCCGCGGGGGUGGUAGGGAAGGAUAAUAUUUAUUAAUACCAAUAUAAUUUAUUAUUAAAAAAUUUGAAAUUGUUUAUAAAUAUUUAUUUGUUUUUAUAAAUGAAUAGAUUAGUCCACUAAGAAAAUGGCAAGUGAUAACCGGGAGUAAGACAAGUCAUCAUGGCCCUUCUUAUCGAAUAGAGUUAAUGUUAUGGGCUAUAAAACGUGCCACAUAUGCCUUUACAAAGGGAUGCGAAGACGUGAGUCUAAGCUAAACCCCCAAAAAAGGAAACAAAACCCUAUAUGGAUUGUAGUCUGAAAUUCGACUACAUGAAAAAGAAAUUACUAGUAAUCGUGUAUCACGACGGCACGGUGAAUUAUAUCUCAGAUUGGUACUAACCACUCGUCAGGCGCUGAAAAUUGUGAGUGCAAUAAGUUUGGUGGGCUCAAGAAAAUGUAUAAGCAACUGAGCUUAUGGCGUUUAAGAGUCUAUCUUCGUAUGUGACACUUUGAUUGGUGUUAAGUCGAAAUAUGGUUCGUGUAGUGGAAGUUGCACGGGAUUGAUUAUAUGUUAACAAGGCUCCCCCCCCCCAAUUUUCUGUUAUAAAUUUAACUUUCUGUUAUAAAUAUGAUGAUUUUCUGUUAUAAAUUUAACUUUCUGCUAUAAAUAUGAUGAUUUUCUGUUAAGUUUAUAUUUUAUAUUUUGGAGGGGUAUAAUUUAAUUUUCUGUUAUAAUUAUGUUGAUUUUCUGUUAAAAAUUAAUAUUUAUUAUAAUUUUAUUCUAUUAAAUAUCUGUUAUAAUAGUUAUCGGCCUCGACGUAAUAAUUAUUUAUUAUAAUUAUUUUAAUUUAAACAAUAAAAUAUCUAGAAUAGAUAAAACUACACCCAUAAUAGGGUAAAUCUAUUAUUAUUACGUAUUCAACUCAUUUAGGUUUAAAAAAUUUAAAGAUAUACUUAGAUGCAGGAAUACGAGUAAAUUAGAUAUAAAUCUUGGCGUUACGGGCACUUAAAUGAGUGGCAAAAGGAGAUAAAUUUAUUAAUUUUUGUUAAAUCCUUUUUAUGUGUUUUAAGAUAAAUUAUAUUUCGUUUAUAUGCGAGAGAUUUAAAAAUUUACUUAAUUCAGAAUCGUCACCGUUAAAUGGAAACCAAUUCUUUUUAAUUUAAAUAUUGUGCGAUUAAUCUUUAAAAAUUACUUAUUUGUGUACCCAUGUUUACUUAUUUGACCCCGUAGUACGAAGGGUAAUAUUUUUUUUUUAUGAAAAUUUAAAAAAAUGUACAUAGAUACAAUUCUUUUUACAGCGCGAGGUGUAAGAAAUCGUGUCGGGGGGGGGGAAUAAGUUCUGUAAAGGAAUUUAUUUGAUAAAAUAGCGACCCUAAGGAAUUAAUUAAUAGUGAUAUGGUAUAUUAAUUAAUUCUAAGGACGACUGAUCUGGACUAAAGCAAUUAAUUUAAUUAAACCAUAAAAAAAAUAAAAAUUUUAUUUAAUUGUUUUAGGACUCAGAGCGUUAUCUCGACCUAGAAUUAAUAAAAAAAUUCUACCGAUUAAGUGAAUAUAUUAAAAAUAUAUAAAAAAAAAAUAAAAAAAAUGAAAAAAUUAAAUUUUAAUCAGACAUUGCCUUCGCAAUCGAUUCUUUAUUUAUAACAGGAUUCACAGAUGCAGAGGCUACAUUUACUAUUUCAAUAAUUAAAGAUAACAGAAAAAGAAAAACAAUUCGACGUUUAUUAAAUAAUAUAGAUAGGGAAAUUUUUUCAGUUCAUCCGUCUUUUUCUAUAUCUCUAAAUUAUAAAGACCAUGAUUUAAUUAAAAAUAUAGAAUCUUAUUUUAAAAUAGGAAAAAUAAAGAAUGAUUUAAAUAAUAAUGCUAUAACAUUUUACGUAAAUUCUAUUGAAAAUUUAUCUAAUAUUAUUAUUCCUUUUUUUGAAAAUAAUUUACUGAUUACACAAAAACAAGCAGAUUUUCUUCUUUUUAAAUCUGCAGUUGAAUUAAUUAAUAAAAAUGAACAUCUUACAAAUAAAGGGAUAGAAAAAUUGAUUAAUAUAAAAGCGUCAAUGAAUAAGGGUUUAUCCGAUAAAUUGAAAAAAAAUUUUCCAUCUUUUGUACCUGUUGUUAGACCUAUAUUAUUAAAUCAAUAAAUUAAGAGUGCUAAUUGAUUAGCUGGUUUUACCACAGGAGAAGGGUCUUUUUAUAUUAGAACUAAAAAAGCUGAAACUGAAAAAAGUAUUAACCGUGUAUCAUUUUUCUUUUCUAUUGUUCAAUCUAAUCGAGAUAAUUUAUUAAUAUCAAAUAUUUUAAAAUAUUUAAAUUGUGGGACAAUAAAUGCUAAUGCAAAAUAUACACAGUUUAGGGUAACUAAAUUUGAAGAUAUAGAUGAAAAAAUUAUACCGUUUUUUAAGAAGUAUUCUUUACAAGGUCUUAAAAAACUUAAUUUUGAAAAUUUUUGUAUUGUUAUGGAAAUGGUUAAAUCAAAAGAACAUUUAACAUCUGAAGGAUUUGAAAUAAUUGAAAAAAUUAUAAGUGGUAUGAAUUUAAAGAGAAAAUAAAAUAAUUUAAAAUUCUUCAUUAUAAAAAAGUUUAUACAUAUGUAUUUUAAAUAUUUAAUAUUGAAAAAUGCAGGUAAAGGAAUAUGGUUCGUGUAGUGGAAGUUGCACGGGAUUGAUUAUAUGU